rnacentral:rRNA from 1 species
AUGAACCGCUGGCGGCAGGCCUAACACAUGCAAGUCGAGCGGUAGAGAGAAGCUUGCUUCUCUUGAGAGCGGCGGACGGGUGAGUAAUGCCUAGGAAUCUGCCUGGUAGUGGGGGAUAACGUUCGGAAACGAACGCUAAUACCGCAUACGUCCUACGGGAGAAAGCAGGGGACCUUCGGGCCUUGCGCUAUCAGAUGAGCCUAGGUCGGAUUAGCUAGUUGGUGAGGUAAUGGCUCACCAAGGCGACGAUCCGUAACUGGUCUGAGAGGAUGAUCAGUCACACUGGAACUGAGACACGGUCCAGACUCCUACGGGAGGCAGCAGUGGGGAAUAUUGGACAAUGGGCGAAAGCCUGAUCCAGCCAUGCCGCGUGUGUGAAGAAGGUCUUCGGAUUGUAAAGCACUUUAAGUUGGGAGGAAGGGCAUUAACCUAAUACGUUANGUGUUUUGACGUUACCGACAGAAUAAGCACCGGCUAACUCUGUGCCAGCAGCCGCGGUAAUACAGAGGGUGCAAGCGUUAAUCGGAAUUACUGGGCGUAAAGCGCGCGUAGGUGGUUUGUUAAGUUGGAUGUGAAAUCCCCGGGCUCAACCUGGGAACUGCAUUCAAAACUGACUGACUAGAGUAUGGUAGAGGGUGG